GAGCAGGCGGCCGGGGACGCGGGCGGCGGCGGGGCGCGCGCGGCUGCCCAAGGGCCGUGCGGGGGCCCCUCCCGCCGCCGCUCUCCCAGCCCGGCUCCCCCUCCCCCGGGGCUGCGGGCGCCGGGAGGGGCCGAGCGCGACCCCCGAGCCGCGCCCGGAUGCUGGAAGUGGGAGGGGAGCGGAAGGAGGCGAGCCCUGCUCCCGCGCGCCGCGGGCCACUCCAUCUCCGAGCCCGCCCGGGACCCUCCCCACCCCACAGCCGGGCGGACCCAACCCCUUCGCCGCCAGAACCCUGCCCUCCGCCCGGCUCGCGGCCGCCGCAGAGACCCCCCCCGCCCCCCCACGCCUCAUCCACUCCGGGACGCCGGGCUUUCUUGGGAUGAAGCCCAUUUGGGGAGUUUCACAGUUUAAGAAAGGCUGCCCGCUGUAUGGCCCUUCUGAGCAUCAGGACAACGCUGGGGAAUGCGCAGAGGGGCUGGGGUCAGACGCGGCCCCAGUGGGUGGUCAGGAAGCGCACUGCCGGCCUCAGGGGAGGGCACAGUUAGAUGUUCCUACUGUGGCGGAGAGAGAGGUUACGGGCCUCUGAAGUCCGGUGGCAGUGAGGGGUGAGCGGGGAUUGGGGCCACCGUACCCCCAGACAGGGCUCCUUGGCCUCUGCCCUGUGCUGAACAUAGCCCAGCAGCUCCGCGGGGUCUCCCCGGAUCCAUCUCGAGUCUUCCAGGUUCCAGAGCUUGGGAGAAAGCCUGUCCGGUCCCUGCGCAGGCCCGGGGCGCCUGAGUGCAGAUCGCUGUUGGAGGCCAAGCGGAAAGAAAACCAGUUCGCCCAAAGACAGUGGCCUGGCUGAACAGAGGGGCAGAGAGCGAAUGGACUUGAGGAAUCUGGGCCCUCACCUGUGUGUUCUCGGUCCGUGGGCCCGGGCGCCUCCCAUUUCCCAUAAACUCCAUAAUCAGUCCUGACCAGCGGGGUAACUGGGAGCCGCCAUUUGCCAGACGCCUGGAUUCUGACUUUAGCAGGAGAUGCACCAAAGUGAAGGAGUGGAGCUUUUUGUGAACAGAUUCACGCACACCUCGGACCUCAGGAGCACCGGCCAGCCCUGCUCCGCGGCUCUAAGGGGCCAUUCCCCCAGGGAGGGACCAAGGAUCCGCCCAAGGGGUUAGAACCAGCCGCUGGGAGAAAUCCUGCCUCCUCACGUCCUGACCAGGUGAUCUCGGGCGUCCUCCACCUUUCCGAGCCUCGUUUCUUCAUCCAGGAGACGCAGGUGAAGCCGUCCACCUCACUGAGGGCAUCUGGGAUCCUUCCGGCACUCAGUAAACACACUGAGCCCCUGCCAGGCACUCAGGGCACAUCCAGGAACCCAGCCGGCCCGCCCGGGGAGGGUGCAGGCAAGCAGGCAGCAAACUCUGUAACACCAUCUGCUGUCUCAUGCGUGUUGCAGAAGUGAGCAGUGUCGAGGAACGGCGCCUGGAGAGGGGCUGGCGGUGUUCGUGUUCCAGAGGCCAGGGCAGGAUCCCGUGUGGCAGGGAUCUCCGAGUCGGUCAAGCUCAAGCGGGCGUGAGCACAGCGUCCCAGGUGGAGGCCCGAGGGCGAGCUGCAGGGAGGUGGCCCUGGAGCUAGAGGGGUGGGCUCUCGGGGGUUGGGGGCAGGGCCAGGGCAUGGGCGCCGUGGAAACGUCUCUUUCGGCCCCUGCCGGGAUUGUCAAGUGCAGCAAGCAUGGGCUGAACCUGCAUGGAGACCCUGCCCGAGGACUGUCCACUGUCUCAGGCCCAAUGUGUGCGUUUCUUUGGUUUACAUUACUGCCGCUGACCGUGUAUAUUUCUACGAGAUAUUUUCCAUUUGCCACCAAUUCUUCCGUCCUUGCAGACACCGCGGUGGACAGAAGACCCUGGCUUCCCUUCUGGAGGCCUGCAGGGACAUCGGGUAGUAAAUAAAGUGCUGGUCAGAGAUGCCAUGAAGAUGAAAGGCGUACAGUACAACAGGGUGAGGACUGGAAGGAGCUGCCUGAGGAGACUUUGGGACGGAGAGCAGGGGGAGGGCUCAGCAGCUCUUCUGACGAGCAGAGCACAGGGGUGUGGGGAAGAGCGUUCCAGCAGAGGGAACAGGGAGAGCAGGGCACUGGAACAGAGCGACCGCCCUUCAACUCAGCAAGUCCAGUAGGGGCCGGGCUGCAGGGACCUCGUCUUCCCGCGGUCGCUGUGCCGAACGGAUUGGAGGGACACCGAAGAGGCAGGGGCUGUGUGACGCGGUCGGGGAAGACACGGGCAGGAGGUGCCUGUUCUGCCGUGGCUGCUAGAGGUGCCCCAGGCGGGCGGCAGCAGUUUCCCACUGGCGUCCUGUAGUAUGGUAGAGGAUGGGCUGUGGUUUGGGUCCGAACUGGGUGAGUGAGGGGCUUGUCUAGGAAACAGUGAGCAGGUUUCUGGACAGGGCUUGGGAGACAAGGGUGGAUUUCAGGACGUGCUGCGUCUGAAAGGCCCAAAUGACAGGUAGGGAUGGCCCUUGGGGGAGAAGGCAGAGGCUGGAGGUGGAAUCUGGGCUCACAAUACGUAGCAGGAGUUGAGACCCUGGGAUGCACACGCAGGGGUGGAGAAGAGCAGGCCGAACUGGGCCAUGGCAGCUCCCCCACUGGGAAGAGAGUGGGGGGUGCGGAGGGCACCCAGGGGGAGGAAGAGGAGGAGGAACAGCGGGCCCUCCCCAGCUGGUGGGAACCUGGGCAGUACUGAGCCUUGUGUGUGUGAUUCACGGAAGAGGGGGGCUGUGUGGGGUGCGUCCCGCUGCCAGGCCCAUGUGCAUGUACACACGGGCCUGGGAUUGGGUAGAGACGCCCCUGAGCGGACUGGAGGCCAUGGAGCCGCUGGGCUGGAGCACCGUUUGGAGUGAGCAGGGAGGUGAGGAGAAACGGGGCCCCAGGUGGGUGGGGGCAGCCCAGGUCCCAUCUUGAGGGAG